CUUAUCGGUUUGUUUGAUGUUACAGCCAAGGGUCUGUAGCUCAGGUGGUUAGAGCACCGUCUUGAUAAGGCGGGGGUCGUAGGUUCAAGUCCUACCAGACCCACCAAGUUACGGGCGGCGGAGAGCGAUCUUGCCGUGAACUGGGGGAUUAGCUCAGCUGGGAGAGCACCUGCUUUGCAAGCAGGGGGUCGUCGGUUCGAUCCCGUCAUCCUCCACCAACACCUUGUGGUAGCCAAACGCAAGCAUCGAGAGAUCGGUGUUUGCGUUUGGCAUUGCCAAGACGAGUAGUAACUCGGCUGUUCUUUAACAAUAUGGAAUGUAGUAAAGGUGUCGCGGCGCGUUGAUGAGGCGCGCAAUUUAAACGCGACACUGGGUUGUGAUUGUAUCAACCAGUAUUACGAGUGAUCGAAAGACCGCUUGGAAUACGGCACAACGCGAGAACUCAGCCUAUAGCGAGACAUACUCGUUAUAGGGUCAAGCGAAUAAGUGCAUGUGGUGGAUGCCUUGGCGAUCACAGGCGAUGAAGGACGUAGUAGCUUGCGAAAAGCUGCGGGGAGCUGGCAAACGAGCUUUGAUCCGCAGAUGUCCGAAUGGGGAAACCCGGCCCGUAUGGGUCAUCCCUUGCUGAAUACAUAGGCAAGGGAGGCGAACGCAGUGAACUGAAACAUCUAAGUAGCUGCAGGAAAAGAAAUCAACCGAGAUUCCCAAAGUAGUGGCGAGCGAAAUGGGAACAGCCUUGUACUCUUUAGCAGUAUUGUUAGCGGAACGGAAUGGAAAGUCCGGCCAUAGUGGGUGAUAGCCCCGUACGCGAAAACAGUAUUGUGGAACUAGGUGUACGACAAGUAGGGCGGGACACGUGAAAUCCUGUCUGAAGAUGGGGGGACCAUCCUCCAAGGCUAAAUACUCGUGAUCGACCGAUAGUGAACCAGUACCGUGAGGGAAAGGCGAAAAGAACCCCGGGAGGGGAGUGAAAUAGAUCCUGAAACCGCAUGCAUACAAACAGUCGGAGCCUGGAAACGGGUGACGGCGUACCUUUUGUAUAAUGGGUCAGCGACUUACAUUCAGUGGCAAGCUUAACCGAUUAGGGAAGGCGUAGCGAAAGCGAGUCCGAAUAGGGCGUUCAGUCGCUGGGUGUAGACCCGAAACCAAGUGAUCUAUCCAUGGCCAGGUUGAAGGUGCGGUAACACGUACUGGAGGACCGAACCCACUAACGUUGAAAAGUUAGGGGAUGAGCUGUGGAUAGGGGUGAAAGGCUAAACAAACUUGGAAAUAGCUGGUUCUCUCCGAAAACUAUUUAGGUAGUGCCUCGUGUCUCACCUUCGGGGGUAGAGCACUGUCAUGGUUGGGGGGUCUAUUGCUGAUUACCCCGCCAUAGCAAACUCCGAAUACCGAAGAGUGCAAUCACGGGAGACAGACAUCGGGUGCUAACGUCCGGUGUCAAGAGGGAAACAACCCAGACCGCCAGCUAAGGUCCCUAAGAUUGGCUAAG
rnacentral:sRNA from 1 species